GGGACUUACAUGUGAAACAAGCUUGUUCCCUAACUAGAACUAAUAAAUAAAUUUAAAAAAAGGAAAACAGGUACCCCUUUAACUGCUUUUUAGAAAAAGUAAACCAUAAGGAGUUUGAUGUUCAGACUAAUAGCUGUUGUAUGUUCUCAGGCUUUCACGCUGUGUGAGCUGCUUGUUUGAAUACAAGUUCAUUCUCCAAAAAAAUAAAAUAAAAAAAGAACCUGGCUCCUGGAAGCCUCAACAGGUUCCUCGCCCUCCCCACCCUUGCCCCGACCAAUGGUGAAGAGCAGAGAAAGAAGACAUGUGUAAAGUUAAAAUGGAGAAGUGUUCUAGACACACUGGGGCCUAUAGGCUGAAUAUGGAUGCCCCAACGUUAAAGAGGAACUUUGGGUGACUGUCCAGGUAGCGAGAAGUCUCUGUCAAUUCUAGAGUUCAUAUAUUAUCCUUCUAUGAUCUGUUAGAGUUGAAGACAGAUAGUUAUGGUUAUAGUUUUCCUCAGUUAUUAUAAAAGAUAAGUUAUCUUUCUUUUUGUUUAGACAGAAAAGAGGAAAUGAUGGGGAAUGUACUGUGUAUGUUUGUCUUAUUGAUUGUUAAAUAAAAUACUGUUUGGCCAAUGAGACAGGAAGUUAGACAGGACUAGGAGUCAAAGAGGAUUCUGGGAAAUGUAGUAGAGAAGUGCUGAUCCAGGCAGGAAGUGACAUAGCAAGGAGACUCAUAUUUAAGCGAAGGAGAAACAGGAAGGGCUCCUUUUUCCCCUUCGCUCCUGCUCCAGCAGCACAAUGUGAUCCACCGGCAAGGAGGGUCGCCAAUAAGGCGUCCAAUAAGUGCAGCGGCUGUGUGAGAUAUAUGUGGAGAUGCUGGUUGGAGCCAUUUGAUGGCAUUCAGCUUUGUGUGUCCCCCAAGGAGAAGAAAGAAUCCUCCAGCAGGUCUGGGUUGUGCUUCUGGCCGUACAACAUCUGUGGAGAAGAAGGAUGUCAUGUGGAAUUUACAACAGAUCCUAAUGGGAGAGUCUCCCUAUCGAUACCCAAGAUUGUGGAGAUGUACAGAAAUUAUGCACCCGCUGAAAGCCAAAUCUUGGCAUAGUCUUGGAACCUGAUUUCCCCUACCUGGCAUGUGCCAUCAGGUGGUAUGUUUGGGAGAGGUUGCUGUGUGUAACUCCUUUGGGCUGCGAAGCAGAAAACAGGACUGAAGGCCUGGGGAACUUAAUCCAGAACUCUGAGCACCAAUUGCAUGAAGAAACCACCUGGGAAGCAUUUGUGCUGCCCUUUCAAAAGGGUUAGCUUCCCUUCAAUUCAGCCAAGCCAGACACAACUCCUGAUGUCAGUUUCACGGCGAAGAUCUUGACAGGAGGAAAGAAGAGGAGGAGAGGAGGAAGAGAUAGAGAAGAGGAGAAGAAGAAGAGGAGGAGGAGAAGGAGAAAAGGAAGAGGAGAAGGAGGAGGAGGAAAAGAGGAGAGGAGGAGAGGAGGAGGAGAAAUGACCCAAAUUCCCAAAUCCAAACACACAUUAAGAACUCACAUGCAGAUUUUAGACAUACAUAGAGUAAGGAUUACCAGCCUACAAUCCACACUGCCAAAGAAGCUAAUAAACAAGGAGGUCCCUAAGAGAGACAUACAUGGUCCCCUGGAGAAGGGGAGACUUCAAGAUCUGCUGAGCAAAUUGGGAGCACGGGAAGAGCGGGGAGGGAGCUAGGAGAAUGAGAAGGGGAGAAGAGGAGGGAUGCCGAGGACAUGAGGGAGCAGAAAAUAUGAGUCAGGGGAAGAAUACACGAUAACAAGAAUGGAGAUAGCAUAAUAGAGAGAGACAUUUUUGGUUUACAGAGAAAUCAGGCAGGCACUAGGGAAAUGCCUGGAGAUCUACAAAGAUGACACCAGCUAACUAUCUCAGAAAUGGAGGAGAGGCUACCUUAAAUUCCCUCCCCUGAUUAUGAGAUUUAUGACUGACUUAUAUGCCUUCAUCCAUAGCUGGUGGGAGUAGAAGCAGACACCCAUAACUAAUCACCGAACUGAACUGGAAC
rnacentral:lncRNA from 1 species